UUUUAUAUUAUUAACCAAUCAAAUAUUAAUUAUUUUUUACUAUACUUUUAUCUUUUUAUUUGUAUAUUAAUUUAAUUUAUAAUUUAUUAUAAUUUUUAUCUGCUGCAUCGUGCGGGUUCUUAUACUAGUAUGAUUAACUAGGCAAAGACAAUUAAUACUUAUUACAAAGAAAUAAAAACAUUAAUACUUUAUUGGCUUAUUAAUUUAUCGUAAGACCAACACCACCUUAAUUUUUGUUUGAUUUCUAUCACGUCAAUUAAAAUUUCCAACAUUUGAUCUUUGAAU
rnacentral:lncRNA from 1 species